AGAAUCAACGCUGGCGGCGUGCCUAACACAUGCAAGUCGAACGAGAAAGUGGAGCAAUCCAUGAGUAAAGUGGCGCACGGGUGAGUAACACGUGACUAACCUACCCUUGAGUGGGGGAUAACCUAGGGAAACCUGGGCUAAUACCGCAUAAUAUCGAGAGAUCAAAGGAGCAAUUCGCUUAAGGAGGGGUCGCGGCUGAUUAGCUAGUUGGUGAGGUAAUGGCUCACCAAGGCUAUGAUCAGUAUCCGGCCUGAGAGGGCGCACGGACACACUGGAACUGAAACACGGUCCAGACUCCUACGGGAGGCAGCAGUGGGGAAUUUUGCGCAAUGGGGGAAACCCUGACGCAGCAACGCCGCGUGGAGGAUGAAGUCCCUUGGGACGUAAACUCCUUUCGAUCGGGACGAUAAUGACGGUACCGGAAGAAGAAGCCCGGCUAACUUCGCGCCAGCAGCCGC
rnacentral:rRNA from 1 species